UACGGGGGGAGCAAGCGUUGUUCGGAUUUACUGGGCGUAAAGGGCGCGUAGGCGGCCAGCACAAGUCAGUUGUGAAAUCUCCGAGCUUAACUCGGAAAGGUCAACUGAUACUGUGCGGCUAGAGUGCAGAAGGGGCAACUGGAAUUCUUGGUGUAGCGGUGAAAUGCGUAGAUAUGCGGAGGAACACCGAUGGCGAAGGCAAUCCCCUGGGCCUGCACUGACGCUCAUGCACGAAAGCGUGGGGAGCAAACAGG
rnacentral:rRNA from 1 species